rnacentral:rRNA from 1 species
UACGAAGGGGGCUAGCGUUGCUCGGAAUCACUGGGCGUAAAGGGUGCGUAGGCGGGUCUUUUAAGUCAGGGGUGAAAUCCUGGAGCUCAACUCCAGAACUGCCUUUGAUACUGAAGAUCUUGAGUUCGGGAGAGGUGAGUGGAACUGCGAGUGUAGAGGUGAAAUUCGUAGAUAUUCGCAAGAACACCAGUGGCGAAGGCGGCUCUCUGGUCCGUUUCUGACGCUGAUGUGCGAAAGCUAGGGUAGCGAACGGG